rnacentral:ncRNA from 1 species
UAAGGGCAUGGUCCCGACCUUAUUGUUAGCUUUAUCCCAACUUACACAUGCAAGUCUCCGCAGCCCCGUGAGUAUGCCCUUAAUCCCCUGCCCGGGGACGAGGAGCGGGUAUCAGGCACAAACUUUUAGCCCAGGACGCCUGGCCAAGCCACACCCCCAAGGGAAUUCAGCAGUGAUAAAUAUUAAGCCAUAAGUGAAAACUUGACUUAGUCAGGGCUAAGAGGGCCGGUAAAACUCGUGCCAGCCACCGCGGUUAAACGAGAGGCCCUAGUUAACAAUACAACGGCGUAAAGGGUGGUUAAGGAGUGCAAAACAAUAAAGCCGAAUGGCCCUUUGGCUGUCAUACGCUUCUAGGUGUCCGAAGCCCAACAUACGAAAGUAGCUUUAGCAAAAUCCACCUGACCCCACGAAAGCUGAGAAACAAACUGGGAUUAGAUACCCCACUAUGCUCAGCCAUAAACCUAGACGUCCAACUACAAUUAGACGUCCGCCCGGGUACUACGAGCAUUAGCUUGAAACCCAAAGGACCUGACGGUGCCUUAGACCCCCCUAGAGGAGCCUGUUCUAGAACCGAUAACCCUCGUUAAACCUCACCACUUCUAGCCACCCCAGCCUAUAUACCGCCGUCGUCAGCUUACCCUGUGAAGGCAAUAAAAGUAAGCAAAAUGGGCACAACCCAGAACGUCAGGUCGAGGUGUAGCGUACGAAGCGGGAAGAAAUGGGCUACAUUUUCUAUAAUAGAAUACUACGGACAUGCAACAUGAAAUAGUGCUUGAAGGAGGAUUUAGUAGUAAAAAGGAAGCAGCGUGUCCUUUUGAACCCGGCUCUGAGGCGCGUACACACCGCCCGUCACUCUCCCCUGUCAAAUUGCAAUAAGAAUAUUUAAUGCCAAAGCACUGACAAGGGGAGGCAAGUCGUAACAUGGUAAGUGUACCGGAAGGUGCACUUGGAUUAAUU